AUGAACGAAAAGCGAGAUAAGCAUGCUAUUUUCAAAUUGAUUGAUAGAUAGCCUGAUCUGUUCUGAUAGAUCGAAAGAGAUAGAGAGGGAAUCUCUCAAGAAUAGGGGGAAAUCUCCUAUUUCUAUCUAUUGAUGAGACAACUAUCUAUUCUUGAUCCAUCAGAAAGAAAUUGAUGUAUAUUUGAUGGAGUCUACAUCGUACGUAGAGUGCCC
rnacentral:lncRNA from 1 species